GUGCUUGCUUUGGCAGCACAUACACUAAAAUUGGAACAAUACAGAGAAGAUUAGCACGACCCCUACACAAGGAUGACAUGCAAUUCACGAAGCAUUCCAUUUUACC
rnacentral:snRNA from 1 species